rnacentral:rRNA from 1 species
GGAGUGGACGCAUCACUGGUGUUCGGGUUGUCAUGCCAAUGGCACUGCCCGGUAGCUAAAUGCGGAAGAGAUAAGUGCUGAAAGCAUCUAAGCACGAAACUUGCCCCGAGAUGAGUUCUCCCUGACUCCUUGAGAGUCCUGAAGGAACGUUGAAGACGACGACGUUGAUAGGCCGGGUGUGUAAGCGCAGCGAUGCGUUGAGCUAACCGGUACUAAUGAACCGUGAGGCUUAACCUUACAACGCCGAAG